rnacentral:rRNA from 1 species
UGCGCAGGUGGGGGUGUAAGUCAGUGGUGAAAUGUUGCCGCUCAACGGUAAAAUUGCCAUUGAUACUGCAUCUCUUGAGUAUGGUUGAGGUAGGCGGAAUGUGUUGUGUAGCGGUGAAAUGCAUAGAUAUGACACAGAACACCGAUUGCGAAGGCAGCUUACUAAGCCACUACUGACGCUGAGGCACGAAAGCGUGGGGAGCGAACAGGAUUAGAUACCCUGGUAGUC